rnacentral:tRNA from 1 species
UUGAUAGGGCUGCUAGGCAGGUCACUGUGAUAUAGUGAUUGUGGGACUUUGUCUCCGUCAAU